CUGGGCUUGUGUGUCCCCGAUGUCGCC
rnacentral:piRNA from 1 species